UGGCCAAUUGAAAUUAUCAAAAGCAAAGGAGGAAUGCGCCAGUUCUUAUUAAGAAAAUUAAAAACAAAGCAUCUUUCUCAUUCUGCCUUUACAUCUAUUUAUAUUAUGUUAUACACUAUCUCCACUGCAAACAUAAAUUUUCAAAUAAUAAUAAUAUAAAGGUUGGAUGACUGUCUAUUUUACUAUCAAUUGAUCCUGAAAAACAACUUUAAUCGGGGUUAUACUGUGUUAAGGGUCCUCAGAGCUGCAUGAGUCUUACCUGUAAAGAGGACCCAGAGGCUCACAACAUGAAAUGACUCUGGGAUGUGUAAAAAGCAUUGAUCUACAAGAGACAUUGAAAUCAUUUAGUAUAAAACCUUCACUUUAUGGAUAAAGAACAGUAGGAUGGAGGUUGCAGUGAGCCAAGAUCACUACCCAAGACGUUACAUCUUGGAGUUCCGUGGCUUGUUACGCAUUGCUGAACAUUCAAUGCCCAGGACUGGUUUGCACUUAUUCUGCUCUCUCCAGAAGUUCCUGGUGGAAUGAAUCAUCUACUCUGCAGUGGUAAUGAACAGAGAGGUUCAUUUUCAGAUUGGCUUAUUUUAUAUG
rnacentral:lncRNA from 10 species